CAGAGGUAGGCGGAAUUCCCGGUGUAGCGGUGGAAUGCGUAGAUAUCGGGAGGAACACCAGUGGCGAAGGCGGCCUACUGGGCACCAACUGACGCUGAGGCUCGAAAGUGUGGGUAGCAAACAGGAUUAGAUACCCUGGUAGUCCACACCGUAAACGAUGAUUACUAGGUGUUGGAGGAUUGACCCCUUCAGUGCCGCAGUUAACACAAUAAGUAAUCCACCUGGGGAGUACGACCGCAAGGUUGAAACUCAAAGGAAUUGACGGGGGCCCGCACAAGCAGUGGAGUAUGUGGUUUAAUUCGACGCAACGCGAAGAACCUUACCAAGUCUUGACAUCCUGCGACGAUGCUGGAAACAGUAUUUUCCUUCGGGACGCAGAGACAGGUGGUGCAUGGUUGUCGUCAGCUCGUGUCGUGAGAUGUUGGGUUAAGUCCCGCAACGAGCGCAACCCUUACUGUCAGUUACUACGCAAGAGGACUCUGGCAGGACUGCCGUUGACAAAACGGAGGAAGGUGGGGAUGACGUCAAAUCAUCAUGCCCUUUAUGACUUGGGCUACACACGUACUACAAUGGCGUUAAACAAAGAGAAGCAAGACCGCGAGGUGGAGCAAAACUCAGAAACAACGUCCCAGUUCGGACUGCAGGCUGCAACUCGCCUGCACGAAGUCGGAAUUGCUAGUAAUCGUGGAUCAGCAUGCCACGGUGAAUACGUUCCCGGGCCUUGUACACACCGCCCGUCACACCAUGAGAGCCGGGGGGACCCGAAGUCGGUAGUCUAACCGCAAGGAGGACGCCGCCGAAUGUAAAACU
rnacentral:rRNA from 1 species